AAAAGAUAACUUUGUCACAAGGCCAGAUUAAUUCGUCAAUCGGGGUAAAAUAAUUUGUUUUGCGAUAUAACUGUGAAAUGACAAACUCAUGGUAGUAACAUAACAAAUUGAUCGAGCACUAUUACAAAGUUUCAACUGGUGUUGACAAAAACAAACUUGCGCAUGACUGAUUUAUUUGCGUGACGACUCUUCACAACCGUAUUUGACAAAUCCUCUUCGCGGUCAAUGUAGAAAUGACGAGUUUAAGUCGGCCAUAACGAAUUAUAUUACAAAUUAUUUGCUGAAAAACAAAUCAAUUUGUUGAGGCAAAAUGCAUGACAAAUUUAGCUCCUGAAGACAGUUCGGGACACCCCGCACAUAAUCAGCGUCUUUGAAUCACUCGCCGGUCGCCGUGAUUUUGCUGCGAAGCAAGGCUUGGGUAGAUCGUAAAAGUUUCUUGCAGAGUUUCGCAGGAUUCAUGGUGAGGACCUAAUCACACUGUUCAACCAAGGACU
rnacentral:lncRNA from 1 species